rnacentral:rRNA from 1 species
UACAGAGGGGGCAAGCGUUGUUCGGAAUUACUGGGCGUAAAGGCGCGUAGGCGGCCUGCUAAGUCGAACGUGAAAUCCCUGGGCUCAACCCAGGAACUGCGUCCGAUACUGGUUGGCUUGAAUCCGGGAGAGGGAUGUGGAAUUCCAGGUGUAGCGGUGAAAUGCGUAGAUAUCUGGAGGAACACCGGUGGCGAAGGCGACAUCCUGGACCGGUAUUGACGCUGAGGCGCGAAAGCCAGGGGA